GUCGAGCUUAGUAACGUGGGCUUGUGAUCCAAGUGGAAACAUUAAGUUGGUGGGACUUUGGACCAAUUUGUGUGGACCUCAUAGUUGCGAGGUUAUAUAUGCUACGUUGCCCAAUUCUAAAUUGGCUUUGCCAGUGUCUUCUGCGCUACGAGAGGACCGAUCAAGCUGGUUUCAAUUUGGACUAUCAUCUUU
rnacentral:SRP_RNA from 1 species